CCUCCACCACUGCCGACAGACCGGGCUCUUGGUGGUUUGCCGUCUGCCUCGACCGGUUGCGGUGAGUGGAUAGAGGAGAGAGAAAAGAAAAGCAUCAGGACACGACAAACAAACAGUUACUGGACAGGUUAAUGUGGCCGGUGACUGCUCAUCAGAAACGCAGAGCUCUGGAGCCAGAAAGGCUCUGACAUACCUCUACGGUUCAAGCGGAUGUCUGCGAGGCCCACCAUCCUGGCCCGGCUGAACUCGAUCAAUAGAGCUAAGAUGGACCAUUGGUUGCUGGUCACGUAAGCUUUGCUGGGGGAAUGUUUGUGUCUGUGACUGGACUCUCCUCUAGAUCUAUGUUAAUCACACACAGGCCCAUAAGAUCCUCUCGUCUGGAUGUUCCAGUUCUGUAUUCUUCUUAUAAUCUCUGACUCACCGAGCACCAAACACGCACUGUAUGAUGAAUCCCUCAAACUUUGUGUUGUUUUCAGUAAGUGCUUUCCUGGCAGUUAUGCAUAGUAGUAGCAUGGCUCUAAGAAUGGCAGUCAGUAGGAGCAGCACUUCAGUCUUGACUGAAUAUGUCGAUAAAUAUACUGUAGGAUGGGUUAUGUGAAAUUUAGCACAGGUGUUCGUGGUCCCUACAGGCUGAAUGCUAAUGACGUUGGUGAUUUAGUGCCACCUGCACAUCAGACUUUUCACUUGUACUGGAUGGAUUGGCACUAAAUUUUGACAUUUACUGUAUGUUUCCAGACAGUGUAUCAGAAUGACUUUGGGGAUCCCCUGACUUUUCUUCUGGCGCCACAGUGAGAUACUUUGAGUUCAGCAUCCACUGGACCAGAUCUCUUCAGCUGCAACUUUAUACCAGCUGUGAAUGAUGGAAGGUAACAGUUUCCCACCUGUGAGUGUGCACCUCUCAUUGGCUGAUUCGAAUAUAAGGGACCCAAUCGGAGCAGGAGGCUUUCUUUGUUUUGUUUGUGCCUUUAGUGAUGGAACAGAAACGGCUCUAUUUUAGGUUCGUUAAAGAAGAAGGAGGAGGAGACAGGCCAGACAAG